rnacentral:rRNA from 1 species
UACGUAGGUGGCAAGCGUUGUCCGGAUUUAUUGGGUUUAAGGGGUGCGUAGGCGGUCUUAUAAGUCAGUGCUGAAAUAUCCCGGCUUAACCGGGAGGGUGGCAUUGAUACUGUAGGACUUGAGUAAAGUUGAGGUUGGCGGAAUUGACGGUGUAGCGGUGAAAUGCUUAGAUAUCGUCAAGAACACCGAUAGUGUAGACAGCUAACUAAGCUUUAACUGACGCUGAGGCACGAAAGUGUGGGGAUCAAACAGG